rnacentral:rRNA from 1 species
AACGAACGCUGGCGGCAGGCCUUAUACAUGCAAGUCGAGCGCAUCCUUCGGGAUGAGCGGCGGACGGGUGAGUAACGCGUGGGAAUGUGCCCUUCUCUACGGAAUAGCCACUGGAAACGGUGAGUAAUACCGUAUACGCCCUUAGGGGGAAAGAUUUAUCGGAGAAGGAUCAGCCCGCGUUAGAUUAGGUAGUUGGUGGGGUAACGGCCUACCAAGCCUACGAUCUAUAGCUGGUUUUAGAGGAUGAUCAGCCACACUGGGACUGAGACACGGCCCAGACUCCUACGGGAGGCAGCAGUAGGGAAUCUUGGACAAUGGGGGAAACUCUGAUCCAGCCAUGCCGCGUGAGUGAAGAAGGCCUUAGGGUCGUAAAGCUCUUUCGCCUGUGAUGAUAAUGACAGUAGCAGGUAAAGAAACCCCGGCUAACUCCGUGCCAGCAGCCGCGGUAAUACGGAGGGGGUUAGCGUUGUUCGGAAUUACUGGGCGUAAAGCGCGCGUAGGCGGAUUGGAAAGUUGGGGGUGAAAUCCCGGGGCUCAACCCCGGAACUGCCUCCAAAACUGCCAGUCUAGAGUUCGAGAGAGGUGAGUGGAACUCCAAGUGUAGAGGUGAAAUUCGUAGAUAUUUGGAAGAACACCAGUGGCGAAGGCGGCUCACUGGCUCGAUACUGACGCUGAGGUGCGAAAGUGUGGGGAGCAAACAGGAUUAGAUACCCUGGUAGUCCACACCGUAAACGAUGAAUGCCAGUCGUCGGGUAGUAUACUAUUCGGUGACACACCUAACGGAUUAAGCAUUCCGCCUGGGGAGUACGGUCGCAAGAUUA